UAAUACGUAGAAGGCGAGCGUUAUCCGGAAUUAUUGGGCGUAAAGAGGGCGUAGGCGGCUCUUCAAGUCGGAUGUAAAAUCUCCCGGCUUAACUGGGAGGGAACGUUCGAUACUGCUGGGCUAGAGUGCAGUAGAGGGAGGUGGAAUUCCCGGUGUAGUGGUGAAAUGCGUAGAUAUCGGGAGGAACACCAGUGGCGAAGGCGGCCUCCUGGGCUGAUACUGACGCUGAGGCCCGAAAGCGUGGGGAGCAAACAGGAUUAGAUACCCUGGUAGUCCACGCAGUAAACGAUGGACACUAGGUAUGGGGAGUAUCGACCCUUCCCGUGCCGAAGCUAACGCUUUAAGCGUCCCGCCUGGGGAGUACGGUCGCAAGACUA
rnacentral:rRNA from 1 species